UGAUCACGGGCGUCCUGUGCUCUGCCUGCACGGCUGGUCCGACAACAGCGGCUCCUUUAACACUCUCAUCCCACUGCUGCCUGCUGCCUGUUCCCAAACUCCUGUCUGUCGUGCUGUCCUGUCUGCCUGCUGAGAGACUGCUCGCUGAGAGACCGCCUGAAUACCAAGUGCUGUCAGCUUACAGCCAAACUUCUCUGACAACGCCUGAUCCUGUCUGAUCUCAGAAGCUAAGCAGGGUCGGGCCUGGUUAGUACUUGGAGGGGAGACCUCAGACGUCACCAGCCAUCCCUGCCUCUCAGUCCUCCUGCCACUGAACUUCACACACACAUCCUCCCAACUCCCUUUCCCCUGCUAUCAAUAAACUCAACAUUUAACCUGCGCUCUUGGGUCCUCGUCUGUUUGUCCUGACAGAAUGAUCUGACCAUCAUGGACCCAGCACCCUUCCCGACCAGCAUGGGGGUUGAGCCCGAAAUGACUGCUCUGCAGCGACUGGAACGCACAGAGGGAGACAUAAACCGGAUGUCCGGUGACAUUGCAUCUCUGCUCCAGCUUGGCCAGCAACAACUGUUUCAGCAACAGCAGCAGCUAACCCAAGUCCUGCAAGUACUCACCAACCUCACCACUCCAUCCGCUUCAGCUCUGCCUGCACCACCCAGCCCCUCUGCUGUGGCUUCCCCUCGAAAUCCAGUUGCUCCAGUCCUGGCGGCACAGCCUCUAGCUCCCGGUGACCCGGAACUGAAGAUUGGUAAUCCGGAACGUUUCAAUGGUGACCCAAACCGGGUCCGGCCCUUCCUGACCAGCUGCCGUAUCCAGUUUUCUCUGCAACCCAGGACCUUCUCGACGGAGGGAGCCAAGGUGGGGUAUGUCAUCACUCACCUGACCGGCCGGGCUCGGUUGUGGGGGACAGCAGAGUUCGACCGGCAGACUCCAGCCUGUGCCUCCUUCAGUGCCUUCGUCGAGGAGAUGUUAAAGGUGUUCGACCUGGGCUCGUCAAGAACAGAGGCAUCAUGAGCACUGAUGAGUAUUUGUCAGGGCAACCGGACAGUGGCGGACUACUCCAUCGACUUUCGUACCCUGGUGAGGCGCAGUUCAUGGAACAUGGCGGCACUAGUGGACGCCUUCCUCCACAGUUUGGCGGACUACGUCAAGGACGAGCUCGUUUCCCAUGAGCAACCCCCGACACUCGACGAGGCCAUUGCCCUUGCUGUACGCAUCGAUCACCGUAUCCAGAUCCGCAGACGAGAGAAGGGGCGUCCGAGUCAACCUGCCACCCGCACUCGGGGUGAGUCUUCUGCUGCCCAGUUCCCGUCUGUCACGCCCCAAAGCCACUUAACCUCAAACCUGUGCCUCUACUGCGGAAGUGAAGGUCACCGUGUCACCACCUGCCCGGCAAAAGCCAGAACUCAACAGGUGUAGGGGAGAUCCUGGUGAGCUCGACAUGUACCCAGUCUCCCUCCAUUCGAAAACCCCUGCUUCAGCUCCGCCUUCAGCUUCCUGACACCACUCAUGCCCUGGCCGCCCUGGUGGACUCUGGAGCCGAAGCAAACAUCAUGGAUACAGAGUUCGCACGGCAGCUGGGUGUGGGCCGUCACCAUCUCACUCCACCCGUUCCGGUACGAGCGCUGGGUGGACGUCGUCUCGGCACAGUGACACACAUCACAGCCCCCGUGAUACUGCUGCUGUCAGGAAACCACCAGGAGUCCAUCAAGUUCCACCUCCUACACUCACCCGGCCAACCACUCAUCCUAGGAUACCCGUGGCUCCGUCAACACAACCCCCAACUUGACUGGAAGACUGGCACUAUACGAGAGUGGGGAAGGGGCUGCCAUCAGACCUGCUUAAAGGGAGCCGUCCUGCCAACCAACCAGGAGACCACCAGCUCCGCCCCCGACAUAUCCAAGGUUCCUGUUUACUAUCACAACCUGAGAGAGGUGUUCAACAAGUCCAAGGCCACGUCUCUGCCCCCACACCGACCAUACGACUGCGCCAUCGACCUCCUGCCAGGCACCGCACCCCCGAAGGGCCGUCUCUACUCCCUGUCAGCCCCGGAAAGAAAGGCCAUGGAAGACUACAUAAACGACACUCUGGCUGCUGGCAUAAUCCGUCCAUCGUCCUCUCCUGCCGGAGCAGGAUUCUUCUUCGUGGGAAAGAAGGAUGGUUCUCUUCGCCCAUGCAUAGAUUACCGGGGCUUGAACGACAUUACAGUUAAGAACCGCUACCCUCUGCCACUACUCUCCUCCGCCUUUGAACUGCUGCAGGGGGCCACAGUGUUCACCAAGCUAGAUCUCCGGAACGCUUACCAUCUGGUGCGAGUGAGAGAAGGUGACGAGUGGAAGACUGCAUUCAACACCCUGACGAGACAUUAUGAAUAUCUGGUCAUGCCAUUCGGUCUCACCAAUGCCCCAGCAGUGUUCCAGGCCCUGGUAAACGACAUCCUCAGAGACAUGCUCAAUAAGUUUGUUUUCGUUUACUUGGACGAUAUUUUGAUCUUCUCAAAAACCCUGUCAGAACACACCCACCAUGUCCAGUUGGUCCUGCGCCGCCUGCUUGAAAACUCGCUGUUUGUGAAAGCAGAGAAGUGCAAGUUCCACGCCCAGUCUGUCUCGUUCCUGGGAUAUGUGGUGACCGAGGGCAGCAUUCAAAUGGACCCUGCGAAGGUGUCGGCAGUGACGUCGUGGCCGGUUCCAGAGAGCCGUAAGAAACUGCAGCAGUUCCUGGGGUUUGCCAACUUUUAUAGGAGAUUCAUCCGGGGCUACAGCACUGUGGCAGCCCCACUCACCGCACUGACCAGCAUCAAACAGCCUUUUCAAUGGACUGCAGCAGCUGACAAAGCCUUCGAAACCCUCAAGGCCCGUUUCACUUCAGCUCCCAUCCUCCGGAUGCCUGACGCCGAGCGGCAGUUUGUGGUGGAGGUAGAUGCUUUGGAUGUGGGAGUCAGGGCUGUGUUUUCCCAGCAAGCAGCAGAGGAUGGCAAAAUGCACCCCUGUGCCUUCUACUCCCGAAGACUGACCCCAGCAGAAAGCAACUACGACAUCGGCAACCGCGAGCUACUGGCUGUCAAGCUCGCCCUCGAGGAGUGGCGCCACUGGUUGGAGGGGUCUAAGGUUUCAUUUGUGGUCUGGACUGACCACAAAAACCUGGAGUAUAUCCGGACAGCCAGGAGGCUAAACUCCCGCCAGCGCCGGUGGUCAUUAUUCUUCACCCGAUUCAACUUUGUCCUUUCCUACCAUCCUGGCUCCCGCAACAUCAAGCCCGAUGCACUCUCCCGGAUGUUUCAGAAGGAUGAGGCAUCCAAGGAGGAAUCAACACCCAUCCUCCCAAGCCCCUGUGUCGUUGCUGCCCUGACCUGGGACAUCGAGGAGCAGGUUCGAGAAGCCAUCAGGAACCAGCCAAGCCCCAGCGCUUGCCCCUCCAACCGUCUCUAUGUCCCAGCCGGUCUGAGGUCUCAGGUGAUUCAAUGGGGACAUGACUCCUGCCUGGCCUGUCACCCCGGGGUCACACACGCCCUCCAUCUGCUGUCUCAGCGGUUCUGGUGGCCGUUGAUGAGGAAGGACACCCAGGAUUUUGUGAGAGCCUGCCCCACUUGCAACCAGCACAAAUCCCCCAGUCAGCCCCCAGCCGGGUUACUCCAGCCCCUGCCAGUACCCAUGCGUCCCUGGUCCCAUGUCUCCCUGGAUUUUGUUACUGGUCUUCCUCCGUCGGAAGGUAAUACGGUCAUCCUCACCAUUGUGGACCGCUUCAGUAAGAUGACCCACUUUGUGCCUCUCCCUAAACUGCCAACUGCGAAGGAGACUGCCCGGGUCGUCUUAGAACAUGUCUUUGGAGUCCACGGCCUGCCCAGGGAUAUCGUGUCUGACCAGGGACCGCAGUUCUCCGCCAGUUUCUGGAAAGAAUUCUGCCACCUCCUUGGGGCCACUGCCUGUCUGUCAUCUGGGUUUCACCCACAGUCAAAUGGCCAAACGGAGCGCAUGAACCAGGAACUGGAGAAGGCACUUAGGUGUGUGGCUUCACGCAACCCCCACGCCUGGGCUCAACAUCUGCUCUGGGUGGAAUAUGCCCACAACUCCCUCACCAGUUCUGCCACCAGACUCUCCCCCUUCCAGUGUGUGUAUGGAUAUCAACCACCUCUGUUUGCCAGCCAGGAGGGAGAUGCCACCUGCCCGUCUGCUCUCACCUACGCCCGCUGCUGCCGCCGCAGUGGGCCCAGGCCCGCACCGCACUCCUGAAGUCCAGUACCAGCUAUGCUAUUGGGGCUAACCGGUGGAAGACCCCUGCACCCGUUUACCAUGUUGGCCAGAAGGUAUGGUUGUCUGCUCGAGACCUACCACUGCGGGUGGAGUCACGCAAAUUGGCGCCUCGCUACAUCGGACCCCUUCCCAUACAGAAGGUCAUCAGUCCAACGGCAGUUUGGCUGCUGCUGCCCAAGACCAUGAAAAUACAUCCCACCUUCCACGUCUCCAAACUCAAACCGGUGCACAAGAGCCCCCUGGUCCCGGUAACACCGCCGCCUCCUCCUCCACGCUUCAUUGAUGGUGGACCAGUCUACACGGUCCGGCGACUGCUCCGCUCUCGACAAAGGGGUAGGGGCAUCCAAUACUUGGUAGACUGGGAGGGUUAUGGUUCUGAGGAGAGGGCAUGGGUCCCCGCUGGAAGGAUUUUGGAUCCGGCCCUCAUCGCCGACUUCCAUUGCCUACACCCUGACCAGCCCUCCAUCCGACGGGGUCAACGUAGGGGUUCUCACCGGGCGGAUCCACUUCUGGACCCUGCCGCCACCCCUGCUCCAGUGUCCGAGUCUGACUCUGAACCGAAUCCUGGGCGGGGGCCCUUGGAUGACGAGUCUUCCGACAGUGAAGAUGGUGCGGAGGCUAUGGACACUGACCGGUCAGAGGAAUUCUGACCCUCCACCAGUAUUCCCCCUCCUCCCGCCCGUCUUGGUGGGUCUGUGUCUAGGGACUUCUGGAGCCGUCCCUUGAGGGGGGGGUUCUGUCAUGGUCCUACCUGUGGUUUUCUUCUCAUCAGGUAACAUUCCACUCCUCUCCACUCAGUAUUACCUGCCACGCCCGCAUGCUCCUUCUCUAUCAGGCUCACCUGCUGUCAAUUUACCUUCAUUGACUCUCAUUGACUUUCAGUGGCUGUCAUUGGCUGUUGCCUAUCACCUGCUGCCUUCUCUGUGUGUAUUUAAACUGCAGUCCUCCCAAGCAUCAGUGUCAGAUCGUCUUCAAGGCAUCGACUCCGUCAACUCUUCAGCCCUGCCUGUUCCCAAACUCCUGUCUGUUGUGCUGUCCUGUCUGCCUGCUGAGAGGCUGCUCGCUGAGAGACCGCCUGAAUACCAAGUGCUGUCAGCUUACAGUCAAACUACUCUGACGACGCCUGAUCCCGUCUGAUCUCAGAAGCUAAGCAGGGUUGGGCCUGGUUAGUACUUGGAGGGGAGACCUCAGACGUCACCACCACGCUCCCACCAGCUAUCCCUGCCUCUCAGUCCUCCUGCCACUGAACUUCACACACACAUAUCCUCCCAACUCCCUUUCCCCUGCUAUCAAUAAACUCAACGUUUAACCUG